AGGGUUGGACAUAUGAGUAACCCA
rnacentral:siRNA from 1 species